rnacentral:rRNA from 1 species
GACGAACGCUGGCGGCGUGCUUAACACAUGCAAGUCGAACGGUAAGGCCCUUCGGGGUACACGAGUGGCGAACGGGUGAGUAACACGUGGGUGAUCUGCCCUGCACUUCGGGAUAAGCCUGGGAAACUGGGUCUAAUACCGGAUAGGACCACUGCCUGCAUGGGUGGUGGUGGAAAGCUUUUGCGGUGUGGGAUGGGCCCGCGGCCUAUCAGCUUGUUGGUGGGGUGAUGGCCUACCAAGGCGACGACGGGUAGCCGGCCUGAGAGGGUGACCGGCCACACUGGGACUGCGAUACGGCCCAGACUCCUACGGGAGGCAGCAGUGGGGAAUAUUGCACAAUGGGCGCAAGCCUGAUGCAGCGACGCCGCGUGAGGGAUGACGGCCUUCGGGUUGUAAACCUCUUUCAGCACCGACGAAGCGCAAGUGACGGUAGGUGCAGAAGAAGGACCGGCCAACUACGUGCCAGCCGCCGCCGUUA